AGAUUAAACUAAAGAGUUUGAUCCUGGCUCAGAUUGAACGCUGGCGGCAUGCCUUACACAUGCAAGUCGAACGGCAGCACGGAGCUUGCUCUGGUGGCGAGUGGCGAACGGGUGAGUAAUAUAUCGGAACGUACCCAAGAGUGGGGGAUAACGUAGCGAAAGUUACGCUAAUACCGCAUACGAUCUAAGGAUGAAAGCAGGGGAUCGCAAGACCUUGUGCUCCUGGAGCGGCCGAUAUCUGAUUAGCUAGUUGGUGGGGUAAAGGCCCACCAAGGCAACGAUCAGUAGCUGGUCUGAGAGGACGACCAGCCACACUGGAACUGAGACACGGUCCAGACUCCUACGGGAGGCAGCAGUGGGGAAUUUUGGACAAUGGGGGCAACCCUGAUCCAGCAAUGCCGCGUGAGUGAAGAAGGCCUUCGGGUUGUAAAGCUCUUUUGUCAGGGAAGAAAAGGUUGCGGCUAAUAUCCGCGGCUCAUGACGGUACCUGAAGAAUAAGCACCGGCUAACUACGUGCCAGCAGCCGCGGUAAUACGUAGGGUGCAAGCGUUAAUCGGAAUUACUGGGCGUAAAGCGUGCGCAGGCGGUUUUGUAAGACUGU
rnacentral:rRNA from 1 species